rnacentral:lncRNA from 1 species
CCUGCACAGAGCUGUUUCUGCUACUGUCUUCACAUACAACAUAGGGCUUGGAGCAGUUGGUGCUUCUUUACAACACUUCUGAGGCCAUCUUUAGUCCCCAACUUCUAAUAGGUACUAGGGAGAAGAGAAUGUCUAGAAAUGGCCCAUCAAUAAUAUCAGAUUUGGAAACAAGGAAGGACAAUGGUUCCUGGCUGAUGGAAGACACAUGCCUUAAAGAGCACAUCUUGCAAAAAAAAAAAAAAAAGUACUAGAGAAAAUAUCAU